UUAUUUAUUUAUUAUUUAAAAAUAAAAAACAAAAAAAUUUUAAUAAAAAAUUUGUGUGAAACUUUGGAGUAUUUUCAUUAGUGGAUUUCAAGUUAUAGAUUUUAAAAAUUAUUAUUAUUUUUUUUUUUUUUUCUCUUCUAUUGACAGUGAAUAAUUGUUGAGGAAUCUGAUAAGUGCUGAAAAACUGCCGCCGGCAAAUCUUGUGACGUAUAGUGAUCAAAAGCCUGAAGAUUUUACCUUCGCAGCAGUUGGGCGCUGCGGUCGCUCCAUGGCCGGGCGCCACUGGCCUCCUGUCAGUCGCUGAUGAUAUGGCCCACAAAGGUCAUAGUGGUGUAAAUCAAUUAGGUGGUGUUUUUGUUGGUGGUCGACCACUUCCCGACUCGACACGACAAAAAAUUGUUGAACUUGCACAUUCGGGGGCUAGACCAUGCGAUAUCUCAAGGAUACUUCAGGUCAGCAAUGGAUGCGUCUCGAAGAUACUUGGCAGGUAUUAUGAAACAGGCUCAAUAAGACCAAGAGCAAUUGGUGGUAGUAAACCUCGUGUUGCAACUGCUGAAGUUGUUGGUAAAAUAUCACUGUACAAAAGUGAAUGUCCAUCAAUAUUCGCAUGGGAAAUACGUGAUCGAUUGCUUCAAGAAGGUGUUUGUACCAACGACAACAUUCCAAGUGUGUCAUCAAUAAACAGGGUACUUAGAAAUUUAGCUGCACAAAAAGAACAACGUCAACAACAUCAACAACAACACCAACAACAACAACAACAACAGCAACAAUCUGUUGGUGUUGGUGCAUCUAGUCCAGGUGAAAGUGUUUAUGAUAAAUUAAGGCUUCUAAAUGGACAAACAAAUGGAUGGCCAAGACCAAAUCCUUGGUAUCCAACAGGUGCUGGUAGUCCAUUUCCAUCACUACAAAGAUCAUUGAGUCCAAGUCAUUGCACAGUACUUGCACCUGAUCCUGCAGAUAUACUACAUGCAAAAAAAAUUGCAGAAUUAGAGGGUGGUGCUCAUUCAGAUGAGACAAACAGCGGUGGUGAUAAUAGCAAUGCUGGUAGUGUAUCUGGUGGUCCUGAUGAUGACCAAGCUAGACUUAGAUUAAAACGUAAAUUACAACGUAAUCGUACGAGUUUUACAAAUGAACAAAUUGAUGCACUUGAAAAAGAAUUUGAAAGAACACAUUAUCCAGAUGUAUUUGCAAGAGAAAGAUUAGCUGGUAAAAUUGGCCUACCAGAAGCAAGAAUACAGGUAUGGUUUUCGAAUCGUCGUGCAAAGUGGAGACGUGAAGAAAAAUUAAGAACACAAAGAAGGGACACUGGACAGCAACAACAACAACAACAACAACAGCAACAACAACAGCAACAACAACAGCAACAACAACAGCAACAACAGCAGCAACAACAACAACAAGGACUAACACAUGUUGGACUUGGACAUCCAACACCACCACCACCAAGUAGUAUUUUACCUCCACAAGCACCAAGUCCACCUAGACUUCACCAUGGUUUUGCACCGACAGGUGUUUAUCCUGGUAUACCAAGUAUGCCUGAUGCCUAUAGCCCAAUGACGUCAAUGCCAAGUUUCACAAUGUCAGGACAACAAAGUCAACAACAUGUAAAUAGUAUGUCAUCACUAACUGGUAGUGGUAUGGGACCAAUGGGUAUGUCUGUCGGUAUGUCUGUUGGACCAACACCAGCAUCGUGUCUUCAUCAACGUGAUAAUGGUUAUUCAUGUGGUGUUGGACGUCCAUCAAGUUAUGAAACAUUACAUCUUGGAUAUAGUACAAGACCAAAUUGCAGUCCAACUCAGCCUUAUCAUACAACCGGCCUCAAUCAAUAUCACAAUCAAAAUACAAAUUCAACUGGUGAGUGUCUACCACACUCACUGCUAGCACUAUGAUCAUCAUGGUCCCAGGGACUAGGACUUGGCUAUCAUCAUUCACCUGGAUUACCAUUAUAAAUUAAUUAAUAAAACUACACGAGAACAACUACACAAUGAUAAAUAUUUAAUCGGUUUGCCGGGUGUUAGUGUGCCAAUUGCUGUACCUGGACAGCCAGCACCAGAUAUGGCAGCCCAGUACUGGUCAUCGCGACUUCAGUGACCAUGGUGGUCAUCCACCUCAACCUCAUAGUCACACUGAAUUAUUAUAUUUUGUUUUAAGAUAUUUUUUAAAUUUUUUAUGUGUUAAAUAUUUUAAAUAAUAUUCGAUUAUAAAAUUUAUAUUAUAAUUGUUCAAAGUGAUUUUAUUAUUAAUUUAUGAGAAGAUAAAGAUUGUGUUAAUCAUGUGCAAGAAAUUUUUUUUUUUAUAAUAAUAAUUCAAGGGGUAUUAAUAGUUUAACAAUGCUUUUUUUUUUUUCAAUUUUUUUUU
rnacentral:misc_RNA from 1 species